AAAGACAAAAGUAUUUUUAAACAAAUUAAAAAUAUGCACAAAAACAAUUAAUUCAUGAAAAAAUCAAAAUAAAUCCAAAAAAUAGUUUUAAUUCAGAAUAUGAAAGAGGAAAAUAUUUAAAGAUUUUUGGUGGAAGUCUCAAAUUUUUUGGAUUAAAAAUGAAAUUAAUCAAAAUAAAUGGAUUAAAUAUAAAAAACAAAAAAAACAAAAAAACAAGGGCCAUCAGAUCUCCCUCAUUAAUUGAGGUGGCAGAUCUGAUGACC
rnacentral:lncRNA from 1 species